UUGGUUUGUCCUAAGUUAAAAUUAUCCAAUUUUGACCAAUUUUAUAUAAAAAUAUAAUGACAUCUAUACUAGCAAAUAUAUACACAAUCAAAAUAUAUUCCAUGAUGAAUUUAAUGAAACAAAUUUGAUGUUAUAGAUGUUGCUCUAUUUUUCUAUAAAUUUGGUUAAAAUUGGACAAGUUUGACUUACGACAAACCUAA
rnacentral:pre_miRNA from 1 species